rnacentral:rRNA from 1 species
GAUACGCUUUUAAGAGUCGAGUUGUUUGGGAAUGCAGCUCAAAAUGGGUGGUAAAUGCCAUCUUAGGUUAAAUAUGGGGGAGAGACCGAUAGCGAACAAGUACAGUGAUGGAAAGAUGAAAAGACCUUGAAAAGAGAGUUAAACAGUACGUGAAAUUGCCAAAAGGGAAGGGUAGGAGGUCAGAGAUGCGGCCUGGGAUUCAGCCUUGCUUUUGCUUGGUGUUUUUCCCAGAUUGCAGGCCAACGUCGGUUUUGGGCACUGGAGAAGGGUAGGAGGAACGUGGCACCUCUCGGGGUGUGUUAUAGCUUCUUACUGGAUACAGCGACCGAGACCGAGGACAGCAGCGUACUCGCAAGAGCGGGCCUUCGGGCACCUUUACGCUUAGGGCGUGGGCAUAAUGGCCCUCUACCACCCGUCUGAAACACGGACCCGAUUGCAUAUCAAUAAGCGGAGGAAAAGAAACUAACAAGGAUUCCCCUAGUAACGGCGAGUGAAGAGGGAAGAGCCCAAGAUUGAAAGCUGGCGUCUUCGGCGUCCGCAUUGUAAUCUCAAGAAGUGUUUUCCGCUUCGGACCAAGCCUAAGUCCCUUGGAAAAGGGCAUCAUAGAGGGUGAUAAUCCCGUACAUGGCUUGGAGCGCCCGAAGCUUUGUGAUACGCUUUCUAAGAGUCGAGUUGUUUGGGAAUGCAGCUCAAAAUGGGUGGUAAAUGCCAUCUAAGGCUAAAUAUUGGGGAGAGACCGAUAGCGAACAAGUACAGUGAUGGAAAGAUGAAAAGAACUUUGAAAAGAGAGUUAAACAGUACGUGAAAUUGCCAAAAGGGAAGGUAAGGAGGUCAGAGAUGCGGCCUUGGAUUCAGCCUUGCUUUUGCUUGUAUUUUUCCCAGAUUGCA